GUCGGGAUAGCUCAGUUGGUANAGCAGAGGACUGAAAAUCCUCGUGUC
rnacentral:tRNA from 2 species